rnacentral:lncRNA from 13 species
GGGACUAAGCAUUGUGAAGACAACACACCACUCUUUCAAAGACCUCAAAGUAGCUCCUCCCUCAAGUUGUCAACCCAAUGCACUCUGACGUCGACUCGUUACCUCAAUUCAACUUCAAGGCUGCAGACUUUUGAGCAUUUCCACCAAGAAACGUCUCAUCCCAGGACGACACGGUGCAUAUCCUGUGUACUACUACAAGCCUCAUUUCAGCUAGAGCAUAAUGUCUGUGGACACAGAAAUGGGGGAAAUGUGAAAACAGGUACUCAUGCAGAGAGGGUAUGAGACACUGGGAACGCAGACAGCGUUGGUUCGACCCAAAUCCUUGCAGUGACAGCCUGUAAUCUUCUGUCUUGAGAGAAAGGUAAGAAACCUGUUUGAUCUUUUGACUGAGGAUUAUGGAACGAUUGGGAGACAUAGGUAAAAGGAGCUCUAUACAUUUGGUGUAGUCUCUCCUUGAAUAAGAGGACACUUUUCUUGAGCCAUUACGCCUUACGUUACCCAGCACAGAUCUAAAUGACAUUUUACAAUAAUAUUUGUUGCCAUAUCAGUUGUAAUGAGAAUAUAAAAUGCCAGUUACAUCCCCACUCUAUUGUGCCUCAGCUUAG